rnacentral:rRNA from 1 species
CGAUGGCGAAGGCAGCCAUCUGGCCUAAUACUGACGCUGAGGUACGAAAGCAUGGGGAGCAAACAGGAUUAGAUACCCUGGUAGUCCAUGCCGUAAACGAUGUCUACUAGCCGUUGGGGCCUUUGAGGCUUUAGUGGCGCAGCUAACGCGAUAAGUAGACCGCCUGGGGAGUACGGUCGCAAGACUAAAACUCAAAUGAAUUGACGGGGGCCCGCACAAGCGGUGGAGCAUGUGGUUUAAUUCGAUGCAACGCGAAGAACCUUACCUGGUCUUGACAUAGUAAGAACUUUCCAGAGAUGGAUUGGUGCCUUCGGGAACUUACAUACAGGUGCUGCAUGGCUGUCGUCAGCUCGUGUCGUGAGAUGUUGGGUUAAGUCCCGCAACGAGCGCAACCCUUUUCCUUAUUUGCCAGCGGGUUAAGCCGGGAACUUUAAGGAUACUGCCAGUGACAAACUGGAGGAAGGCGGGGACGACGUCAAGUCAUCAUGGCCCUUACGACCAGGGCUACACACGUGCUACAAUGGUCGGUACAAAGGGUUGCUACCUAGCGAUAGGAUGCUAAUCUCAAAAAGCCGAUCGUAGUCCGGAUUGGAGUCUGCAACUCGACUCCA